GUGAAUCAUCGAAUUUUUGAACGCAAAUGGCACUCUCUGCGGAGAGUAUGCCUGUUUGAGGGUCAGUAUUAAUAAAAAUCGGUGUGUUGCUUCUUUGGGACGCUCCGGAGGUGGGGUCAUCUUAAUAGCCUUGAGGUUGUAAGGGGCUGAAAAUGGACUUUUUUUGCGCAUGUUAGAUGUACAUAAAUUCUUGUUUGUAUGCGUAGGUCUUAGUGCUCAAAAGCCGAUUAGAGGCGACCAUAUCGUGGGGUUUCGUGUCUAUAAAUUUU
rnacentral:misc_RNA from 1 species